UACGGGGGGGGCAAGCGUUGUUCGGAAUUACUGGGCGUAAAGGGCUCGUAGGCGGCCAACUAAGUCGGACGUGAAAUCCCCAGGCUCAACCUGGGAACUGCGUCCGAUACUGGAUGGCUUGAAUCCGGGAGAGGGAUGCAGAAUUCCAGGUGUAGCGGUGAAAUGCGUAGAUAUACGGAGGAACACCAGCGGCGAAGGCGGGUAGCUGGGCCAACACUGACGCUGAUGUGCGAAAGCUAGGGGAGCAAACGGG
rnacentral:rRNA from 1 species